UACGGAGGAUCCAAGCGUUAUCCGGAAUCAUUGGGUUUAAAGGGUCCGUAGGCGGUUUGGUAAGUCAGUGGUGAAAGCCCAUCGCUCAACGGUGGAACGGCCAUUGAUACUGCCAGACUUGAAUUAUUAGGAAGUAACUAGAAUAUGUAGUGCAGCGGUGAAAUGCUUAGAGAUUACAUGGAAUACCAAUUGCGAAGGCAGGUUACUACUAAUGGAUUGACGCUGAUGGACGAAAGCGUGGGUAGCGAACAGGA
rnacentral:rRNA from 1 species